GUAGUCCAUGCCGUAAACGAUGUCAACUAGCCGUUGGGCCCCUUGAGGGCUUAGUGGCGCAGCUAACGCGAUAAGUUGACCGCCUGGGGAGUACGGUCGCAAGACUAAAACUCAAAUGAAUUGACGGGGGCCCGCACAAGCGGUGGAGCAUGUGGUUUAAUUCGAUGCAACGCGAAGAACCUUACCUAGCCUUGACAUGUCUGGAAUCUUGUAGAGAUACGAGAGUGCCUUCGGGAAUCAGAACACAGGUGCUGCAUGGCUGUCGUCAGCUCGUGUCGUGAGAUGUUGGGUUAAGUCCCGCAACGAGCGCAACCCUUUUCCUUAUUUGCCAGCACUUCGGGUGGGAACUCUAAGGAUACUGCCAGUGACAAACUGGA
rnacentral:rRNA from 1 species